rnacentral:rRNA from 1 species
GAUGAACGCUAGCGGCAGGCUUAAUACAUGCAAGUCGAGGGGCAACAGGGGUAGCAAUACCUGCUGGCGACCGGCAAACGGGUGCGGAACACGUACACAACCUUCCUUUAAGUGGGGGAUAGCCCAGAGAAAUUUGGAUUAAUACCCCAUAAGAUCACCAGGUGGCAUCAUUUGGUAAUUAAAGCUCCGGCGCUUAGAGAUGGGUGUGCGGCUGAUUAGGUAGUUGGUGAGGGUAACGGCCCACCAAGCCUGCGAUCAGUAACUGGUGUGAGAGCACGACCAGUCACACGGGCACUGAGACACGGACCAGACUCCUACGGGAGGCAGCAGUAGGAAUAUGGUCAAUGGGCGCAAGCCUGAACCAGCCAUGCCGCGUGCAGGAAGACGGCCCUACGGGUUGUAAACUGCUUUUAUACCGAAUAAACCUUGAUUCGUGAAUCGAGCUGAAUGUACGGUAAGAA